UUUCCGUAGGUGAACCUGCGGAAGGAUCAUUAUUGUAUAACCGAGGUGCGAGGGCUGUCGCUGACCCGAAAGGUCGUGCACGCACGAGUGUCCUCACACACAUCCAUCUCACCCCUAUGUGCACCACCGCGUGGGUCCCCCUUUGGCUUGUUCGGAGGGGGGCUUACGUUUUCACACAAACUUUGUAUGCAGUGUAUAAUGUAUUUUUUGUUUUUGCGAUCACGCAAUCAAUACAACUUUCAACAACGGAUCUCUUGGCUCUC
rnacentral:misc_RNA from 1 species